AUGAAAACCUGCCUCUAUGAUCUUAUAAAAGACCAUUCCCUAGAUUUCCUAUGUCUACAGGAGACUAUGAAGAAGUUCUCUUCUAGUUUUCUUAGAAGUAUCGAUCCCUAUAAAACCCUGGAGUGGAAUUGGAUUCCCUCCAUUGGUAAAGCUGGAGGCAUGUUGUGUGGAAUUAAAAAACAAAAACUGAAGACUGUUUCUUGGUCUAUGGGUAAAUAUAUUUUACAAGUUAUUGUUUUUUACGUGGAGUAAAAAUGUGUGUGGGCUUUGCUAAAUGUUUACGGUGCUGCUCAUGAUGAAUACAAAAAGGAAUUCCUCUCCGAACUUGCUAGCUUUUGUAGCCAUUUAUCCAUGCCUUAUAUAGUUGGUGGAGAUUUUAAUAUCUUAAGGCACUGUGGAGAAAAUAAAAUAAAAAGAGAUGGCAUCUCGUAUGUUGACAGGUUUAAUGUUAUUAUUAAUACCAUGGGCCUGCGUGAGAUUUAUAUUGAAGGGGGUUUAUUUACCUGGUCUAAUAAUCAGGCCCACCCCACUCUAGAAAAAUUGGAUAGAGUCCUUAUGAUUGAUGAUUGGGAGGAUAUUUUUCCUUUGGCCACUGUUAGAAAAUUGGUUAGAGACAUCCCUAACCACAAUCCUCUGCUUCUGUCCACCAAUAGUGCUUGCACCUAG
rnacentral:rRNA from 1 species